UAACCCAGCACAGAAGUGAAUUUUAUAUGGAAAAAAAAAUAUGUAAAAUGGUGAAAUUAACUCCCCAUAGUAAACUUUUGGCACUUUGAUUUCAACACAUGUUUUUAAGAGACAUGAAGUACCGAUAGUUUAAAAGCUUCCAGGUGAACUAUACGUGGCCAAAGUUGAGAAUGGGUUACUCAUUUCUGGAGUAUUACCUUUUAGUCCCGUGUGCUCAAACUCGAUUUUUACCCACAUUAAAACUGCCACCUUGUCUUGUUUCUAGAUUCAAAAUUAAACAUAUGUUGGUUUUAAAAUGAAGGGGCUCAUCUUCAUCUCAAUUAAAAGUUAGCCUUGUCUACUAUAGUCUAGGACUUCAGAUAACUGAAAAUUUGAAAUUUGAAAAUUUUUCAAUU